CAAAGAGCAAGGGUUAGCCCUGCUCCUGCCAGUCCCGCGAGCCCAUAGCUUAUACACUGUCUGCUGGAGUGCGGCUUUGCUCUGCCCUGCCCUGCCGUGGUUUGCAUUGCCCUGUGGGCUCUCACUUCUUUGGCCAAAGACUUUUGAGAUCUGGGCUCACCAAGCCCUGCACUAGGCAACACCUAGAAGCCAGAGCCAAAUGAACAGAUGCCAGGCUUGGCCCUGGGGACUGGUGUCUCCCCCUCCCCUGAAGUGUUUUCCCCAGUUCACCACUCCAGGUUUACUUUGCAGGGACCCCCGUAGGUGGCAGGCUUGGCUGAUCCUCACCUGUGAGCCUGGGAUAGUGGUGGGAUGUAGGGUUGCUGGAAGACUUUCAGGGAGAUUCAGGCCUUUCAUAAACUCCUCAACCAUCCUGUGCCCUCCCUGGUUUGCUCGCCCCGUGGAAGUUGGGAAGCCACUUUUCCCUGUCCUGUGUGACUUUCCCUGCAUAGUGAGCUCUCCUGCAGGAGAUACUUUCACAUGCUUCUUUAAAAGCACCUGUUCCUCAGAUCUAGAUCAGCUGUGAAAACAGGCUUCUUCAAGUCAGGGUGAGAGCUACCCCUCCCAGCUCAGAGCUGCAACACCAUAGGAGCCUCCAGCCCCAGUGCUGGAUGGGUCCCAUGGAGGAGUUAGAGCAAAGUGCCCCUUCUGCGAAGUGACUCAGAACAGAAGGCUCAGAAGUGACAGUCAACCCCCAAGUGCUUCUUCCAGGAGAAAGCAACCAGCUCUCCCUUUUAAACAGUUGUUGCCUCACAUAUGACCCAGCUGUAUGACUGGAGAAGAUUUCCUGGAGUUUAGUUGCCCAGAGUGUAAGCAUUUCAUGAUUCUAAGACAGCCUCAAAUUAAAACCGAAGACUCUUAUUUUAAAACUUUUAAAAAAUGAAUGAAGUAUAAAAUAGCAAUAUGAAAUAAUCAUAAUCAGAAUUGAGCUAAUUCCUGUGAAGUCAUUUAGUUUUUCAUUUUCUGCUUCUAUUUUCAAGGCAUCUAGAGUAGCACUAUCUGAGAUCCUAAGGCCUUCUAUUAUGGUGCUACCCAUUCAUUCCUCUCUCCUUGAGGACUUCUCAGGUGACUUAAGAAAACCUGAUUUCUUUUCAGAUUGUCCCCAGCUGGUGUGAUCUCUCUGUCGAUGGCCCUUGCCAAAAGCUGCAAAGGCAAUGUAUUGUUUUACAACACAAAAUUCCAGACAUUAAUUUACCAAUAAAGUCUCAGGAGUCAGAUGCUGUAUUUAAGUAAAGCUCCCAACUGUCCUUCCUAAUUCACUGUUCCCCCAGAAGAAGAGCAUUGUAGCUCUCUCUGCACACUUUCUUAAAAAUCCUACAACUGAAAGACUUUCCAUUGCCCUACUUAUCUUCAUUUCCUAUCAAGUUGUGCCUUGAUCUGCUCUAGACCUAAGUGCCCUUUAGCUUUGCAGUAAAGGUGUGAGGUAGGUGAGCUAAACAGUAAUAAAGUCCAUGUUCACAGUAAACAAAGAGCUCUUGCAUUAAAUGUCUGUGCCCUGGCGAUGCUAUACCACACAAUAUUUUUUCGUUAAAUAAUACAUUCAUGAAGAUCACAGUGUGAUCAAAAAUUUUGCUAGUUAGAAGAAAUCAGAGAAGGUCUAAAAACAUAAGGUUAUUGCCUGGAGCACAAUUCUCCCCCUUUUCCUACUGUCAGAUAUACACUGUAUUUAAAGAAGCAAUGAUAGUGAAGUACAUUGCUGCCCUGUCUAAACUCAGAAAAGGUGGACCCUCCAUGACUCCUGAUGGUGUUUUUAUAUCAAUGUAACAUAACAAAUGCACUGUAAAAGUAAAGACCAGAAGUUCACAGUAUAAUAGCAUUUGCCUUACCAUAUCCUCCCAGUGGGGAUGGAGAAUCUAAUGUUCUGAAAUCUUGACUUUAAGGAAUUGUGAUAUUCGUGGAAAUUCAAUUCCUUUUCAGAUGCUCCAGUUGUUGUGGCCCAUUGCUAGAAUGGUCAGCGUAAGCCUCCAGCCCCCCUGACAGGAAGCUCAAUAUAUACUGCUCAGAGCUUACUCGACAUUCCCCAAAAGUGCUGUCUUUGUACUUUGAGACGAAAGGCCAAACUCCUUCACUCUAGUCUCUCCAUAAUCGACGUUCCCCCUCCCAAAACGCUUGCGAAGACGGGAAAACAUGUCUUAGCUUGUAACCGCCAGACUCAGACUGAGAGAAACUAGGGCCCUGGUUGUCACUACAACACUGGUGACAUCACAGAGGAUGCCAAGAACUCUCUAGGAGACAAUAGAAUGUCCAAGAAGGGACAGCUGAUGUCAUGGGGAGCAGACUUUGUCUCCCUGCUAAUGUUCUCCCUGUACUGAGCAUAAGCAGAGGUGCCCUUUCCAGGAGACUUUCCUGGGGCAGAGUCACUGAGCAUCUCAUGCUUCCAAAGCCAAAUUUUCCUCAAGGCUUGAUUAUAAAAAACCUUAGUAAUCCCUAUGCAUCUAAAUGAAUUUUUCCUUCCAUAUCUUGCACAAAAAUGUCUCAUCAUAACUCAAAUUGUCCUCAUUCACCAAUGUUAGCCAUUAAAACUUCCUGAGAUUUCACACCAGCUUGAAUAUGCAGUCAAAAGUUCUCUUGUCUCAUUAUGUACAGGUGCUUUAUAUCACAUCAAGAAAUAGUCUGCAUGGUAGGGUACAACAUGCGUGUGUGUUAGGGGAACACUCAUGAAGUCAUGUGCUUAGCAAUCGACAAUUGCCAGAAAAUUCCUUAGGAGAAAGAGUUGUCGUCUUUAAGGUGCUAGGAAAAGUGUGGAGACCAGUUGGCAGAGGAAACUGCAAUAUUGGAGACACCAGUGAAGGGAACCUCAUGCUAAUCAGAACUGACUGCCAUAUAACACUUCCUACAAUCUUCAUAUGAGAAGCUUGAGAUUUUUGACUGACUUUUUCUUUUUCUUUCUUAUGUUUUGCUAUAUAAGUUGAGAGAAAGAGAUAGGGCUCAUGCUGCUUGUGGGGUUCUUGUCUCUGCACCAAUGUCGCCAAAGGAGCACUGCUCACAGGCCUGAGUAAGAUAUACCAUGAGCUUCUAUCAGAAAAAUAAAAUAGUCAAGAGAUAUAGGGGGUGCACAUAAACGUCUAAAAUGAGGCUAUAAACAUGAUUAAGUGGAUAGAGCAAGGUCCCUGCACCUGUACACUGGGAAAUGGCCACCCCACCAAACACGAAAGCAUCUAACAUAGUAAAAAAUGAAUACUUUAUAGAAUGCACACACUAACACUGAUUGAUCUCCUCCUUAGUUCAAAUUUUGGGGGCAAAUUCAUGGCCCUAACUAUCUUUCUCUCAACUUAUAUAGCAAAAAAUAAUUAAGAAAGAGAAAAGAAAAAGUCAAAACAAAAAGCUCAAGCUUCUCAUAUGAGGACUGCAGGAAGUGUUAUAUGGGAGACAGUUCUGAUUAGGCCAUUUUAGAUAGAACAGUGCAUAGUGACCCUUAAUGUGCUGGGCCCUAUAUAAAGCUUUUUGCAAUAUUGGAAUUUUAACAAACCUCAUCCAGAACGGACGGAAGAGGCACCAUGAGAUCACCAUGUGAUCACCAUGUCCUUACUCUGUAUCAGGUUAUUUUUCUGCAUCCUUGAUUGUCAGGCAUAUAACAGCAACAAUCUGAAAUAGCUGGUAGACACUGAGAAUCGUGGCUGAAACUAUAGUUGUGGGUUACACACCUCAACUGUCAAAGGCCAAUGCUGUACUCACAGUCCUUGGAGGCCACUCUUGUAAGCCUAUGUAUUGAAAAGUGGAAGGAGGUUUAUCUGAGCUUAAAGUGCAUCUGGCCAGCUAGGUAGAGGGCAACUUGUGAUACUUGAGACCCAUCUAAAACCAGCACAGAAACCCACACUUCUUUCCAAGCAUCAUCUACGAAUUCUCGAUUAUUUACCAUUCUCUCCCUACCAGUUUUUCAGUUUUGAAUGGUAGAAAAAAACUGGAACUGAUCUUUCUAUUCUAAGGACAUUGAUCUCUAUUUCCUUAGGUCCACAUUAAGAGUGCAUACAAAUGGAUAUCACCAUCUGAACAUCUUAGUAUUAUCUACUCUGUAUAUGUAGCAUAAUACUGUGCCUAUGACAGUCUCAAGAUUCCUUGAGUGUUGUUGCCCCAUCAAGAAGUGUGAAGAACUGAGGCCAAUCCUCAGGGAUCCUCUGGAGGGAUUAGAAGAAAGCCAUCAGAGAUACUCCACUUCUUUGUCCUUAGAUUAAAUCAAGUUGACACAAUGUGAACCUGGUGGGCUAUUUAACCAUGCAUCUUUCUCCCAAUCCCUCUUUUCUGAGUUCAGUCCAUGGCAGAAUUCGUUCCCCACCAUCCUAGAUAUUUCUUGGUAUAUUUCCACUAGAGCCAGGUUUCUUUCUUUUCUUUUUUAAUUGGAAUUAGUUGUAGUCAAUCAACUGCUGCCGCAUGUAAGAAAUGAUUAGUAUCUAUUGUAACUUACCACACUGUAUUUGUGUAUACAAGUACGUUAUUGGCAAUCCACCAUUAUUGAGGAAUUGGAAACCAGCGCUUUGGCCUUGCCUUUCUGUGCCUAGUCCUGGCUCACAGGCAGCAGGGGGCAGACCUUGAGUUCCUCUUCAGGGACAGAGUGAUGUUGAAUGGGCACUGAGCAGGCAGAGAAACACAGCUGAGGCAGCUCCUUUCAGUUGUCAAACACAUCAUCUCCUUCCCAUCUUAAGGGCUACUGCUGAGGUCUUGCCCCCAUACCUACCUUAAUAGCAGCGAAUUUGUUACACAGCAGCCAGCUCUUUCCUAUUGUGCUGUAAUACGCCUCCACCUCAUGGAUGCCAAGAAAAACACUAACAAAGAACAAAAAAUUCUGACGUUGAACUGUGUGGUGCUGGUCACAUACCCUGUUAUGUUCUGUAUGUUAUGAGGUUUGUUAAAUCUUAACAAGUUCCCCAAGUGUAUUCUUCACAUAGGACCCAAUAGAUUCAAGGAAAAUAGGAACAAUUAUGUGUAAAAUGGCCUGAGUCAGGGCCCAUAAACCGAAGCAUUUCCAACACUUGUGCAUGAGCCCAUGUGGAUUUUGCAAUGAGCUGGGCCUAGCAAUGUCCAGGAGACAGUUGUGAGCUGUUGUUCUGGUUGAACUGUAUUGGUGUGUGCAUUCAAUGAACUACACCUAUUUAAAUGAAUUCAGUGUUGGUGUGGUUUGAAUCCAGACCCCUUGACACCAAAUCUUCCCUUUGGCAGCAUUUAGGAGAAGAAGCUAAGGUCAGGAGAGGUGACACCUUGCCAUAAGUUAUGUGACAAGAGGGAUGGUGAAAUGAUCCCUUGUGAUAAGAAUCAAGGUUUCCUCUGUGGCACUUAGGUCUAUACUGGCCCUGUGCAACAGCUUCAAGAACCCAUUUCUGAUUUUCCUUGGGAUUCCCGUGAUGAUGCACUCAGUCAGGAUUGGAAACAACCAAAAUGGUAGUCAAAGUGCUUGAUUUAAAAAAUGUAGGGAACACUGCAAACUCAUGUUUCAGGAUAUUUGAUUACAUUGUAAGCCCCAAGAUUUGUUAUUUACUUAAAAAAAUGUACGUCUGGUGGUGUAGGUCAGCACUAACACAGACAUUUACCUCUAGAGCUUGGUGGUUUUUAUUGAUAGAGAAAUUGCAUAGAAUCGCCAUAGGGACCUGUGUCUUAGGUCUGUUUCCCUAGUAUAUCCUCUACAUCUCUCAUGAUGGUGAUCCUGUUUCUGGCUAAAUAAUGUCUGUUUACUGGAGAAUUGAGUUUAGUGACGUGCAAAUAUUAUUUAAACCUAUGUAUUAAAUGUUGUCAUUUUGUUAAUUUUUGUGGUUUUUAUUGGCUUCUUUUGAUUGACUGUUGUAGUUUUAUUAAAUUAUUUCCUGUUUCCUCUGGUAUUUUAUCCUUCCCUUCAAGCUAAAGUAAUCCUUUUAGGAUCCUCUAAGGAGCUUUUUCCUGGUUAUACAUAUUUUGUUAAAUAUAUUUUUAGUGUGCAUUAGUCAGCACAGUAGCUGGGCAGCUGCCUGCCCUCCAUGGUAUCAGAUCUACUUUCCAAACAAUAAUGCUCAACUCUUACUGACUGUGUAGCAUCUUGGCUGCUCUUUGUUCCCCUUGGACAGCCCUCAGGACCAGGCUCUCCUCUCCCUUAACCAUGGCUGCUGUCCUCUUCCUCUCUCCUCUCCAUCACACACGUUCUUCCUUUAUUCUCUGGCAGCUUCUUCCUCCUUCUUCCCUCCUCAUGAUUCUUUCUAGCAAAGCCCUCAAAGCUCCCCUCCCCCAUCUCUCUGCUGUGCACCUGUUGGCUGUUGGCUUCUUCAUAAUCACAGUUAACUGGGAGCAGGGUCAGCAUUUGGGGGUUUGCCAGUAGUGAGUUCUACAAAUUAGCAUUAAAUAAAAGCAGCAUUAGGCCAAUCCACUACAGGGAUUUCUUUAGUUUUGUUUUGGUGUAAGUUUUCUUUUAUCUUUUCACUUUCUACUUUAUUUUCAGCUAUUUUUUAUUAAUUGGUAAUUUUAUUUAUUUAUAUUUUAAACGUUGACCCACUCUCCAGACUCCCCUCUUCAAAUCUUACAUCCCGUUUCUGCUCAGCUUUGCCUAUAUGACAGUGUUCCCCCACCCACACAUACCCAUUCCCACCUCACACCUCUAGGACCUCCUUUAUGGUGGGGCAACAGGCCUCAGGGUAGUCAAUGGCCUCCCACCACAUGGAUGCCACUUAAGUCACUCCUCUUCUACACAGUGACCUAGAACCAUAGACCGAUCUUGUAUACACUUUGGCUGGCAGUUUUGUCCCUAGGAGCUGGGGGGUUGGUGACAGAGGGUCUGGUUAGAUAUUAAAGACCAAUGGUUGCUGCUGUCUCUGCUUUUUCUGGUUGUAGGUGAAAUUAUGUUUGUGUGCUUCUCUUUUUUUUUUUAAAUUAUUGUGAGGUGAUUAAUUUCUUGGUUUUGUUCUUGGGUAUAGUUUAGCUCAUUGUCUUGGAGUUUUCCUCCUAUUAUCCUCGGUUAUGCUUUCUUAGAGAAAAAAUAUUGUUUAAAUUUGGAUUUGUCAUAAAUUAUCUUGGUUUCUCCAUUCGUGGUGAUUGCGAAUUAUGCUGGGCAUAAGAACCUGGGUC
ensembl:lncRNA